CUACGGGUCGCACCAGUGAGGAAUAUUGCACAAUGGGGGGAACCCUGAUGCAGCAACGCCGCGUGGAGGAUGACGCAUUUCGGUGUGUAAACUCCUUUUAUAUGUCAAGAAAAUGACGGUAGCAUAUGAAUAAGCACCGGCUAACUCCGUGCCAGCAGCCGCGGUAAUACGGAGGGUGCAAGCGUUACUCGGAAUUACUGGGCGUAAAGCGUGCGCAGGCGGGUUGGAAAGUCAGGUGUGAAAUCCUACAGCUUAACUGUAGAACUGCACUUGAAACUUCUAAUCUAGAGUAUGGGAGGGGGAGAUGGAAUUAGUGGUGUAGGGGUAAAAUCCGUAGAUAUCACUAGGAAUACCUAAAGCGAAGGCGAUCUCCUGGAACAUUACUGACGCUAAGGCGUGAAAGCGUGGGGAGCAAACAGGAUUAGAUACCCCCGUAGUC
rnacentral:rRNA from 1 species